GUCCCUGUAGCGCAAUGGAUAGCGUGUUGGACUUCUAAUCCAAAGGUGGUGACUUCGUACCUACCUGGGAUG